rnacentral:lncRNA from 14 species
UUUUCCUUUUCCUUUUCCUUUUCCUUUUCCUUUUCCUUUUCCUUUUCCUUUUCCUUUUCCUUUUCCUUUUCCUUUUCCUUAUCUUGUCUUUUUUUUCCCCUCUCAACAGGUCAAGAUUUACCCAACAAAAACCCUGAUGGGAAACAGAGAAGUUCAGAAAGGUAAGAUGUUGAUAGGAACAACUGCUGACUUCAGCGUGCUCCAACACAGAGCUGGACUACUUCGGAGAAAUCCAGAUCAGAACUCAGCCAGCCUCCCUGUAAAUCACUAAGAGCAAAACUCUCAGCAGAAGUGCCACCCUGCGCUGCAACACUAUGGAUUAUCCUGGAGUAAACAGCAUGAGAGCAUGACCGUGUCAGCCCUGCCCCUCCCAGAAUAAACAUCCAACCC